UAAUGGUGGCGCGUGAGAUAACAACAUUCUGUGAGGCGUGUGUAAUGAGAUCGUGGUCAACGAUUGUAAAAUCAAAAUUUUGAAAUGUUCAUCUUCAUCCAACGGUAUGUAAUUUGUGUGAUUUUAAUUUUAAAUAAUUGAUAAAUCGUCCCCAUUGUUUUUUUCAUGAUUAAAAUUCAUUAUAGUCUUUAAUCGAUUGAAAUGCAAAUCAACAUCAUAUUCAAUUUGAUAAUUUAAGUGAUUAAAUUAAGGUUUCGUCUCAAUCUUCGUAAUUUUAGAUGGUUGAAUCAUGAUCCACAAUUGUCAACUUUAUCGAAUCUACUCAACUAUGAAUAUUAUGGAAGUUAAAUAUUAUGGAAGUUAAAUGAAUCAUUUCAAGCCUGAUUUACAUUUGAGAGUUAAGUGUAACGUGAGUUUGGAUUGGUGAUAAAAAAAUUGAUUUUAAUAAAUUAAUAUUAAUAUAAUUGAGUUUAAUAGAAUUAAUUUAUCUUUAAAUAUAUUUAUAUAAAAAUAAAUUGAACAUUAAUUUUAAGUGUAAAUAUUAAAUUUAAAUUUAAAAGUUAUAAAUUCUAACAUCAAGUACAAUUAAUUUUUGAGACAAAAUCAAAAGUAAUGUUAACUUCGGUAAAUUUUUGACCCAAACACCCCUGAUUUUAAAAAAAAAUCCUAAAAUAAUCUUGAUUUUAAAAAAAUUCUCAAUCUACUCCACUUUUAAGAGGAAGCGUCAGAUUAAUUGGCGUCUCUAUGUAUUGUUUUGUCAUCAUAAAAAAGGGGGAGAUUGUAAGAACAAAGUUGGUUCUACAAUGUAUCUCUAAGAUUUUGAUGAUAACAAAGGAUGAAACAAAAAUGUUACCCUAACGAAAUUUUUCUUAAGUAUGCAGGACUCUGAUCGAACAAUCAGAUAGAUAAAAGCAUCAGAUACAGAAUCCAGCAAUCAGAUACUAACUCAGAGGAAACGCGUAUAGAAGGUUCUGACUCUAAUCAACGUAGGUACUAACAAAACAGAAAGAAGUCAGAAACCUUAUUAAAGAAGAUUGAAUCCAGACUCUGAAUCUGAAGAAGUCAAGAGUUUAAAGAAACUCUGAUUUGGUCAGAUA
rnacentral:lncRNA from 1 species